GUACGCGAAUGUAUGAAUUCUUGGUCGCAGUAAAGAGACCCGUCACUCUGAGAGGACGCCAAGCAUUACAAAUACGAAACUACCCAAUGUCAAAGAUCAACCAUUGCAUGUACACUACUAAGCUGUACUCAAGAUGUAUAGUAGUGCUAUAGCCUCGAUAAACUUCUAACCUCACAUAGGACAAGUAUCUUCUUCGCCUUCUUGAGACAUCAUGUAAUUCCUGCAAAGUGGACAAGUUACAUUCCAGUACUUGAGCCACUUCUCUAAACAAUGCUUGUGGAAAACAUGGCCACAUGAGAGAUGGUUUAUCUCUGCGUCAGGCUCAAAAUCCGUCAGGCAGACUGAGCACUCUUUCUCAGCGUGGUUAGAGAUACAGAUGGAAUCAUAACGAAUUGCAGGGGUAUGGCUUCUGAAUUCCUCCAUAUAUGACUCUGAUGGGCUUCUGCGACAUUCAAACGAGUCCAAGGAGCCUUCGAUGGAAUAAUCGUCCCAUGAUGCAAUGUGGAUGCCAAUCACAUGAAGGAUCGAUCGGACCAUCUCCUUGACAAUGGAGAUGGAUAUGGCUGUGUUCACUAGAAUAACACAGAGCACUCCUGCAUCUGCUGGAGUUGGAUACUGUGAGAGUCCCAUACUGGAUUGGAAUCUAGGCUGAAACUUAGAGAUUUCUACUAGCAACAACUUCUGGAACAGCUGACUGAACUGGACUUUAUAUUAUUGCCUAUAGGUGUAGUAGGAGCUAGAAGAUGUUAGAAAAUUCUUUGAAAUUUGAAAUAUUAAGAAAAUUGGGAGAGAAAUUUAUUGUUUUUAGAGACUUAAGGGUAGGGUUGUUAGAUUCAUAGGAUACCAGAGAGAGAGGACAAUGUUG
rnacentral:misc_RNA from 1 species